rnacentral:rRNA from 1 species
CUAGUAACGGCGAGUGAAGCGGCAACAGCUCAAAUUUGAAAUCUGGCUCUUUCAGAGUCCGAGUUGUAAUUUGCAGAGGGCGCUUUGGCUUUGGCAGCGGUCCAAGUUCCUUGGAACAGGACGUCACAGAGGGUGAGAAUCCCGUACGUGGUCGCUAGCUAUUGCCGUGUAAAGCCCCUUCGACGAGUCGAGUUGUUUGGGAAUGCAGCUCUAAAUGGGAGGUAAAUUUCUUCUAAAGCUAAAUAUUGGCCAGAGACCGAUAGCGCACAAGUAGAGUGAUCGAAAGAUGAAAAGCACUUUGGAAAGAGAGUCAAACAGCACGUGAAAUUGUUGAAAGGGAAGCGCUUGCAGCCAGACUUGCUUGCAGUUGCUCAUCCGGGCUUUUGCCCGGUGCACUCUUCUGCAGGCAGGCCAGCAUCAGUUUGGGCGGUGGGAUAAAGGUCUCUGUCACGUACCUUCCUUCGGGUUGGCCUUAUAGGGGAGACGCCAUACCACCAGCCUGGACUGAGGUCCGCGCAUCUGCUAGGAUGCUGGCGUAAUGGCUGUAAGCGGCCCGUCUUGAAACACGGACCAAGGAGUCUAACAUCUAUGCGAGUGUUUGGGUGUCAAGCCCGAGCGCGUAAUGAAAGUGAACGGAGGUGGGAACCCGCAAGGGUGCACCAUCGACCGAUCCUGAAGUUUACGGAAGGAUUUGAGUAAGAGCAUGGCUGUUGGGACCCGAAAGAUGGUGAACUAUGCUUGAAUAGGGUGAAGCCAGAGGAAACUCUGGUGGAGGCUCGCAGCGGUUCUGACGUGCAAAUCGAUCGUCAAUUUGGGCAUAGGGGCGAAAGA